UCAAUUGGUCCCAAAAUGACU
rnacentral:piRNA from 1 species